GGAUUAGAUACCCUGGUAGUCCACGCCGUAAACGAUGAGUGUUAGCUGACGGGACCAACGGUCUCGGUGGCGCAGCUAACGCAUUAAGCACUCCGCCUGGGGAGUACGGUCGCAAGAUUAAAACUCAAAGGAAUUGACGGGGGCCCGCACAAGCGGUGGAGCAUGUUGUUUAAUUCGAAGCAACGCGAAGAACCUUACCUAGCCUUGACAUACCUGUCAUACCAUUCCGAAAAGAAUGGGUCAUUUAGUUGGACAGUGUACAGGUGUUGCAUGGCUGUCGUCAGCUCGUGUUG
rnacentral:rRNA from 1 species